GAACUCACAUUCCACUGGAACUGCAGAGGCUGCCAGCCAGACCAAUGAGAAACACAGAAGAGGAAUCCCCUGAGGAGAUCAGGGUAUCAGCUGGGCAGAAGGGACUCAUCCUAUGAGGAACAGAGCAGAGGGCAUCCAAAAUUGAGUGAGGCACUGGCAGAUGAGUGAGGAGAAGCAGGGAAUGCAGACCUCCUUAGAAAGCAGCAAGAAGGAAUUCUGCCUGGGUAUUCUGAGGAAGGUCUUUAGGAAGAUGUCAGGAUGGUCAAAACAUCAAGUGUGGAAUCAGAGCAUUGCUUUGAGAAUCAGAGAACUGUCUGAGAGGACUGUUUCCAGGUGAUAUCUACCAUUUGUGAAGUGCAGUGUCCAUGAUCAGCUGCAGCUCUUGACCCUGCUGGCACUGAGUUCCCUUGACAAUUCUGCUCUGCCUGAUAAUGGUCCCAUCAAGACAUUCCCAAAGGAGCUCUACUCUUCCCGUACAACAUCCCACCACUGCUUUAUAGGGAGAUCAGGAUCCCCUUUCAGCACCAGAAUUGUGUCUGAUAUCCUGCCAAAUGUUUUUACAUUUGUGCUUUUUGCCCAGAAAAGCUGUGAAGAUGUUG